UUAAAAGACCUAGCAAUAGGUAUGCUUAGGGAAGAGCUUGCGUCACAUUAGUUAGUUGGUGGGGUAAUGGCCUACCAAGACGAUGAUGUGUAGCCGGGCUGAGAGGUCGAACGGCCACAUUGGGACUGAGACACGGCCCAAACUCCUACGGGAGGCAGCAGUAAGGAAUUUUCGGCAAUGGAGGAAACUCUGACCGAGCAAUGCCGCGUGAACGAUGAAGUAUUUUGGUACGUAAAGUUCUUUUAUUAGGGAAGAAAAGAUGGUGGAAAAACCAUUAUGACGGUACCUAAUGAAUAAGCCCCGGCUAACUAUGUGCCAGCAGCCGCGGUAAUACAUAGGGGGCAAGCGUUAUCCGGAAUUAUUGGGCGUAAAGGGUGCGUAGGCGGUUAAAUAAGUUUAUGGUCUAAGUGCACCGCUCAACGUUGUGAUGCUAUAAAAACUGUUUAGCUAGAGUUGGAUAGAGGCAAGUGGAAUUCCGUGUGUAGUGGUAAAAUGCGUAAAUAUACGGAGGAACACCAGAAGCGAAGGCGGCUUGCUGGGUCUUAACUGACGCUGAGGCACGAAAGCGUGGGGAGCAAACAGGAUUAGAUACCCUGGUAGUCCACGCCCUAAACGAUGAGUACUAAACGUUGGAUAAAACCAGUGUUGAAGUUAACACAUUAAGUACUCCGCCUGAGUAGUACGUACGCAAGUAUGAAACUUAAAGGAAUUGACGGGACUCCGCACAAGCGGUGGAUCAUGUUGUUUAAUUCGAAGGUACCCGAAAAACCUCACCAGGUCUUGACAUGCUUUUGCAAAGCUGUAGAAAUACAGUGGAGGUUAUCAGAAGCACAGGUGGUGCAUGGUUGUCGUCAGCUCGUGUCGUGAGAUGUUGGGUUAAGUCCCGCAACGAGCGCAACCCUUGUUGUUAAUUGCCAUCAUUAAGUUGGGGACUUUAGCAAGACUGCCAAUGAUAAAUUGGAGGAAGGUGGGGACGACGUCAAAUCAUCAUGCCCCUUAUGACCUGGGCUACAAACGUGAUACAAUGGCUGUUACAAAGGGUAGCUAAAGCGUAAGCUUCUGGCGAAUCUCAAAAAAACAGUCUCAGUUCGGAUUG
rnacentral:rRNA from 1 species